GUGACGCUGGCGGUAGGCCUAGCACAUGCAAGUCGAACGGCAGCACAGGAGAGCUUGCUCUCUGGGUGGCGAGUGGCGGACGGGUGAGGAAUACAUCGGAAUCUACUCUGUCGUGGGGGAUAACGUAGGGAAACUUACGCUAAUACCGCAUACGACCUACGGGUGAAAGCAGGGGACCUUCGGGCCUUGCGCGAUUGAAUGAGCCGAUGUCGGAUUAGCUAGUUGGCGGGGUAAAGGCCCACCAAGGCGACGAUCCGUAGCUGGUCUGAGAGGAUGAUCAGCCACACUGGAACUGAGACACGGUCCAGACUCCUACGGGAGGCAGCAGUGGGGAAUAUUGGACAAUGGGCGCAAGCCUGAUCCAGCCAUACCGCGUGGGUGAAGAAGGCCUUCGGGUUGUAAAGCCCUUUUGUUGGGAAAGAAAUCCAGCUGGCUAGUACCCGGUUGGGAUGACGGUACCCAAAGAAUAAGCACCGGCUAACUUCGUGCCAGCAGCCGCGGUAAUACGAAGGGUGCAAGCGUUACUCGGAAUUACUGGGCGUAAAGCGUGCGUAGGUGGUUAUUUACGUCCGUUGCGAAAGCCCUGGGCUCUGCCUGCGA
rnacentral:rRNA from 1 species